UACGUAGGGGGCAAGCGUUGUCCGGAAUUAUUGGGCGUAAAGAGCGUGUAGGCGGUCCGGUAAGUCGGCUGUGAAAGUCCAGGGCUCAACCCUGGGAUGCCGGUCGAUACUGCCGGACUAGAGUUCGGAAGAGGCGAGUGGAAUUCCCGGUGUGGCGGUGAAAUGCGCAGAUAUCGGGAGGAACACCUAUGGCGAAGGCAGCUCGCUGGGACGUUACUGACGCUGAGACGCGAAAGCGUGGGGAGCAAACAGG
rnacentral:rRNA from 1 species